GGGGGCGACUGGUUUCGACAUGAUAGUUUUGCGAGAGGAAGCAUGCGGUGGUCUCCUCGCCACCUUAAACAGGGGUACCGUCAAAAAUUAAUUGACAAAAAGCAAUUUGCACUCGCUGCCUAAUAGUGCCGCGACGUCAACUCAGGAUGUUCCCCGCUCCUGACGCGACGCCAUUUUAGGGGAAUGCUCCUGCAGACGUAGACGGUAUGCUGUAGGAAAAGAUCGAACCGACUAGCAAAGGAACGUUUGUCUGUUGAUGUAUCCGGCGCGAAUCCCAACAACGGACUAAGCAUGUAGAAGCUCUCAAGAAGCUGUUAUGGACCGGAGUUCGAUUCUCCGCGCCUCCACCA
rnacentral:tmRNA from 1 species